rnacentral:tRNA from 1 species
UCGCCUGAUCAACACG